GCCGGGUGUGGUGGCUCAUGCCUGUAAUCCCAGCACUUUGGGAGGCCGAGGCGGGUGGAUCACCUGAGGUCAGGAGUUCAAGACCAGCCUGGCCAACAUGGUGAAACCCCGUCUCUA
rfam:Homo sapiens chromosome 5, GRCh38 reference primary assembly.